rnacentral:lncRNA from 1 species
UGAAUUGUAAUGCUGAGAGAGUCUUUAGUAUGAUGAAUAUCAUCAAUACGAAAAGGAGGUACAAAUUAGGUACUAAGAAAUUGAGGGAAUUGUUGAUCAACAAAUGGAAUGAAUGUUUUUUUUUAUCAUUUAAUUAUGAACACAUUUUGUGCCGAAGGUAUCUAUUCAUUCUUUAUGGUCAGUGGUCACUAAGAAGUUACGAAUACACUUCCUGUAAUGAUGGGAUUGAUGUUCUCGAACUAACAAUAUAUUUUGUCUUGCAUAAAUUUACAGAAUAUAAUAUACAUUUAUAAAGUUA